rnacentral:rRNA from 1 species
GACGAACGCUGGCGGCGUGCCUAAUACAUGCAAGUCGAACGCUGAAGAGAGGAGCUUGCUCUUCUUGGCUGAGUUGCGAACGGGUGAGUAACGCGUAGGUAACCUGCCUUGUAGCGGGGGAUAACUAUUGGAAACGAUAGCUAAUACCGCAUAACAAUAGGUGACACAUGUCAUUUAUUUGAAAGGGGCAAUUGCUCCACUACAAGAUGGACCUGCGUUGUAUUAGCUAGUAGGUGAGGUAACGGCUCACCUAGGCGACGAUACAUAGCCGACCUGAGAGGGUGAUCGGCCACACUGGGACUGAGACACGGCCCAGACGCCUACGGGAGGCAGCAGUAGGGAAUCUUCGGCAAUGGGGGCAACCCUGACCGAGCAACGCCGCGUGAGUGAAGAAGGUUUUCGGAUCGUAAAGCUCUGUUGUAAGUCAAGAACGAGUGUGAGAGUGGAAAGUUCACACUGUGACGGUAGCUUACCAGAAAGGGACGGCUAACUACGUG